ACGAAUAUACUUCUUCUCACUUCAAACCCCCAACAUAGAUAGAUAGAGAGAGAGAUAGAAGAGAGAGAGAUAGCUUUUACUGUAAAUUUAUGGCGAAAUCGUGAGAGGGAUAAAAAAUAAUGUGAAUCUAGGGCUUCUAUUGCAUUUUUCUCUUCGUCUGCUACAUCUUUUAGCUAAAGGACAGGGAUUCCUAAUGAAAGCUUCACAUAGAGCUUCAUAGGAAGCUUGUUGCAGCAGUUAAUUAUUUAUGCAUUGGAGGUGAUUUUCUUUAGCAUCACUGUGAUGAUUUUGACUUGAUGAAUGUUGAAGGAGUUACAAGAGGGAAUGUGGCAAGCCAUCUCCAGGUAUCUUUAUAUAUAUUUCCAUAUGUUUCCUUUAAUCUGCUUUAUAUUUUUACAAAUGGGAUAUAUGUAUGCAAUCCAUGUACAUUGUUUAUGAAUUUUGAAUUUGGUUGGCUCUUGAACUAAGCAUGGAAAGAAUUAUAUAUCCUUUCUUUUAUUACUUCGCUCUCUAUAUUCAACUUUUAGACUUCACCAUAAAAUCUGCCUUUUGUCGAUAUCUUUUCUUUGAGGAAGUGAAGUAGUAGCCGUCUGUUCUGCUUAAACGACAGGUUUGUACUGCGUAACUCUCUUUUGAAGCUUUUCAUUCUCUGGAAAAAAAAAACCUCUCUUUUGAAGCUUUUUGUGUAGUGCCACUAAAUUUUUCUUCAAGUUACCUCUUUAUUGAUCGGAUUACUCUAAUUAUUAUAAUGAAAGUAGGAUGAUAAUUGUAGCAAAUUAGUAUCAACUGACGGCUUAGGGAUAAGGAGGAAAAAAAUGGUCUUCUGAAUGGGACAAAUAUGCUUUACAUACACUAAUUUUGCAGCUGAAAGACUAGAUUUGGAGAUUAUUUAUAUGGGGUGUUUGAAGGCAUCAGAUUUAGAAUUCAAUAAACAAACGGAAGUAGCAAAAUUCUUAUGAACGAAAUUUAGGUAUGUACCAACUAUCUUGUCAUUGAUAAACAAGUAUUAUCAUCUCAUGAUUUUGCCUACUAUGUUGAGCAGAAUACAAUAGAAUAAAAGUUGAUUUUUUUUCCUUUAUAGUCCUUUGUCACCAUCUGAAUAUACUUGCAAAGAAAAAUCUCACAAAUGAUGUGAAGUUGUUUUCUUACUUAGUUUUUUACUAAAGUGCUAGCUAGCCUUAGAAGGGCUUUCAAGUAACAAACUGUCAUUCCUCACUCAAUAUAGCUUGUUGUUUCAUUGAUUGUUGCUUGAUGCAUGGGUAACAGAGAAGACUCAAAGUUAUGUCGACUUGCACCCAUGGGUUCCUUCUACCAACUUAUAGUUCCAAGAGCUAUUUAUUUUAUAGUCGCAUCAUACUAUUAAUUCUAGUUUCAUAACCGGUGUGGAUAAAUUUCUCCUAUUUUGCAUGUUCUGGGCGAAGUUGCAUGAGUGGUGACAGAAGUUAUUAAUCUUUCAGUGAGUGGUUCAAACAUUAGAUAUCAGAGGUAUGUUGUACUUUAACAAAUUAGAACUUCUUAAUAUACAAAAUAUUACUCUAGCUAGAACCCUUGAAGGACAAUAAGAUCUUAAGUUUAUUAAAAUUGGAAAGUAGCUGCAACCUUCUAGGAUAAAUUUGAGUUACUGCUGUAAACUUUUGGCAUUAGACAUUGAUUUGUUGUUGGUUAGAACUUGAAAAUUGCAUUAUUUAGUGCUUCAUGGGAAUUCUGCUACUGAAUCACACAAACUAGAAGAAGAAUAAAUCACUCCACACCCCUGUCCAGCUCUGGCCAUCCCUCUCCUUCUCAGAUCACAGAAGACUACCAGGUAAGUUCCUUUCCCCUCUCUUCUCAUUAUUUGUAUCUUUUUACCUGCAGUGUGAUAUAUGUUGUGACUAAAUCAGUGAUGAAACCGCAGGAAUAUGCCAUUUAGUUACACUUGACCAUGUUGUUUUCUUGGCAGUUGUGUGCUCAUAGUCAAGUUAAUUAGUCUCCUCUUUCACUUUGAAGUCUAGAUUAGAUAUAUUGCACAUCUUUUGGCAUUGAUUUAUGUGAUCUAUAGUUUCUAUGUUUGAGCAUUCUCAUGGUCUAGAGACUAGAAACUAAGGCAUAUGCUUAAUCUUCUAAGUAAACGAAUAUAAUCAUAUUUUGAUAAACAACAAGCAAGAAGAUAGAAGAAGCUAUGGUAAUGUCAUUUUGUUUCUUGAACUCAAGUCCUAUUAUUUGCACAAGACCUCAUUUAAGAACUAUUUAAGAACUUAAUACAAUCUUCUUAUGUUUGUUGGUUUAAUGUCCCAUUGUUCUGAAAGAUCUUUCUCACCAAACAUAGUCAAGUAUAUGUGUGUGUCUUUGUUAAAAAAUUUGAACUGAUGCUAAAAAUUGAUUUGUUAUUGGCAGCGAGGUUUCAAUUGUUGGAAACAAUGAGCUUUGUGGGGGUGUUCUAGAGUUACUUUAUAUGUUGAUGGCUGCUAUUGAAGUAUGAUUUUGAAAUUUCAUUGCUUAACAGUUCAGGAUAUAGCUCAUGAAUUGUUAGAGUAAUAGUGACCUCAAAAGGAGUAGAUGGACAUUGAAACUUGGAUAUAUUACGAGACUGUGGGAGGACAGACGAAGAUAAGCGUUUAUGUCCUUGGGUCCUACUUUCGAUCCCGAUGAACAUCACUCUCCAACACCACAUUAGUUAGCUUUGUCUUUCAGGCUCUAUUCUAUUAGUUAAACAACAAUUAUGAGCGUUGUUGAUGCUUUGAGAUUUAUGUAAUUUUGAAUUUGAUUGUUAAUCUUCAAAUUAUUUAUAUGAAAUCGGGUUCUUGUAA